rnacentral:misc_RNA from 1 species
GAAAUGCGAUAAGUAAUGUGAAUUGCAGAAUUCAGUGAAUCAUCGAAUCUUUGAACGCACCUUGCACCCUUUGGUAUUCCGAAGGGUACACCCGUUUGAGUGUCAUUGUAAUCUCACUCUCAAAUUCUUUUUUGGGAUGUGGAAUUGGAUGUUGUCGUUCAUCGACUCGUCUUGAAUGUAUCAGUGUAUCCCGCUCGUCGGCGUAACAGUGUGAUAAGUAUCUUCACUGGUAGUCUCUUCGGAGGCGCGCUUUCAGGUGGGCCUCUGCGCUUACAACCGUCUUCGGACAAUUUACUGACAAUUUGACCUCAAAUCGGGUGGGACUACCCGCUGAACUUAA